AUAGCUCAUUUGGUAGAGCACCUGACCAGAGAUUCAGGGGGCCCGAGUUCAAAUCCCGGU
rnacentral:tRNA from 1 species